UGAGCAAUCUGCCCUUCUCUUUGGAAUAAGCGUUGGAAACGACGUCUAAUGCCGAAUACGACCUCCUUUCGCAUGAUCGGAGGUGGAAAGCUCCGGCGGAGAAGGAUGAGCUCGCGGCCUAUCAGCUAGUUGGUGUGGGUAAUGGCCCACCAAGGCGACGAUCAGUAGCUGGUCUGAGAGGGUGACCGGCCACACUGGGACUGAGACACGGCCCAGACCUCUACGGGA
rnacentral:rRNA from 1 species